CUAAGAAUAUACAUGCUAAAAUAAAAUAUUUAAAAUCUUUUCCUGUUCUUUUCAACUUUACUUUAAAUGUCAUCCCACAUCUUUAUAUUACUUUUAAGUACCGAGGCUGAAAACUGGGUAUAGUACUGUCAGCAAGAUCUUUAUUACAUUUCCUUUAGUGAAAUAAGAAUUUGUAUGUACAAUUCAGUGCUGCUUACAUUUGAAUAGAUAUUACCUUGCUUUAUCUUGUUUCGCAUAUGUGUAUGUUUGUGUAUAUUUGUUCAUCUUACUAUGAUGUAGUGGGAAUGUGCUAACUCAUGUUUUGUGUGUAAGUACAUAUUCAUAUAUACAUAUAUAUAUAUAUAUAUCUCCUUUACCCAUUGUUUUAAUAUAUUCUUUUAGAGUAAUAUUUAUUGGUAUUUGGAUUUAUUGGUUAUGUAAAUUAGCAGUUUGAAAAUCAUACAGAAGGAUUGAAUUUGGAGACAGAUGAAGCAACUGUGUCCUUUUCUAUGUGUUUUUAUAAAAAUUUAUUUAGGAGUAAUAAUAUUAUAAAUGUAUAGUUGGAGAAAGUGGAUUGCCUUUGGGAGAAAAAGAUUAUGAGGAAACAUUCAUAUUAGAUAUGAAGUUUAAAAUAAAUUUCCAGAUUUUAUAACAAAUUCAACUCCAUCUCCUGGUACUUCUGAGUACUAAAUAGUAAUCAUCCAGACAUCACUUAUCAUUACCAAUCAAUUUUUAGAAAUUAUAAAUGCUUAUCGAGGCAGGGAAAUUUAACAUUCUAAAAAACUUUUAUUUUUUUAAAAAAAAUUUGUUGCAGAUGGACAUAAUACCUUUGUUUUAUUUAUUUAUUUUUAUUCGAUAGUGAGGAUCGAUCCCAGUGCCUCACAUGUGCUAGGCAAGUACUCUAUCACUUAGCUACAACCUCAGCCUGCCUUUUCUUUUUUUUUAAAAACACAAAGCAGAAGUAAAUAGUUUCUCUAGGCAUUGUGGCUUUUUUUUUUUUUUUUAACAAUAAGACAAUGGAGGAAUAAGUGUGAAGUAGAAGAUACUAAAAUCACUAUUUUAGCACCUUGCUUGGUGCUAAAAAUCUAAAAAAGUGAGAAAUUUACUAAUUUUUCAUCAAAAUUUUUUUUAUACUCACAUGUGGUCUUAAUGCCCCCAGUGCUAGACCUUCUAACUUCAUCUGUAUCACAAAAAAUAAAGUUGGCAUUAGUGAUCCUGUUUAAGUAAGAUGUAUCCCACAGCUUCUAGUGUGGUUCAGUAUGAUUGUUAUAUUUAGUUGUUUUUUCAUAGACUUAGUAUGAAAAUAACUUUUUUAUCUUUUGAUCAACAAAUUUAUAGUUUUCUAUAUUUUAUAAUUUUGUUCAUAAAAAUACUCAUAAGUUGAACCUCUGGUAACCUAUUUUUUAAAUAGGUAAUCUAUUUUCAGUAUUACCUUUUCUGAAAGAAAAUGUUAGCUUUUUAUAUGUUGUCUGCUUUUAUUAAAAAUAACAUUAUUUACAAACAAU
rnacentral:lncRNA from 1 species